rnacentral:rRNA from 1 species
GAUCAGCCACACUGGAACUGAGACACGGUCCAGACUCCUACGGGAGGCAGCAGUGGGGAAUAUUGCACAAUGGGCGCAAGCCUGAUGCAGCCAUGCCGCGUGUGUGAAGAAGGCCUUCGGGUUGUAAAGCACUUUCAGUCGUGAGGAAGGUGGUAGUGUUAAUAGCACUAUCAUUUGACGUUAGCGACAGAAGAAGCACCGGCUAACUCCGUGCCAGCAGCCGCGGUAAUACGGAGGGUGCGAGCGUUAAUCGGAAUUACUGGGCGUAAAGCGCAUGCAGGUGGUUUGUUAAGUCAGAUGUGAAAGCCCGGGGCUCAACCUCGGAAUAGCAUUUGAAACUGGCAGACUAGAGUACUGUAGAGGGGGGUAGAAUUUCAGGUGU